rnacentral:rRNA from 1 species
GACGAACGCUGGCGGCGUGCCUAAUACAUGCAAGUCGAGCGAAGUUUUUCUGGUGCUUGCACCGGAAAAACUUAGCGGCGAACGGGUGAGUAACACGUAAAGAACCUGCCUUAUAGACUGGGACAACUAUUGGAAACGAUAGCUAAUACCGGAUAACAGCAUUAACUGCAUGGUUGAUGUUUGAAAGUUGGUUUUGCUAACACUAUGAGAUGGCUUUGCGGUGCAUUAGCUAGUUGGUGGGGUAAAGGCCUACCAAGGCGACGAUGCACAGCCGACCUGAGAGGGUGAUCGGCCACACUGGGACUGAGACACGGCCCAGACUCCUACGGGAGGCAGCAGUAGGGAAUCUUCCGCAAUGGGCGAAAGCCUGACGGAGCAACGCCGCGUGAGUGAAGAAGGAUUUCGGUUCGUAAAGCUCUGUUGUUAGGGAAGAAUGAUUGUGUAGUAACUAUACACAGUAGAGACGGUACCUAACCAGAAAGCCACGGCUAACUACGUG